CCUACGGGGCGCUGCAGUGGGGAAUAUUGGACAAUGGGCGAAAGCCUGAUCCAGCCAUGCCGCGUGUGUGAAGAAGGCCUUCGGGUUGUAAAGCACUUUCAGUGGGGAAGAAAGCCUUGGGGCUAAUACCCUCGAGGAAGGACAUCACCCACAGAAGAAGCACCGGCUAACUCCGUGCCAGCAGCCGCGGUAAUACGGAGGGUGCGAGCGUUAAUCGGAAUUACUGGGCGUAAAGCGCGCGUAGGCGGUCUGAUAAGCCGGUUGUGAAAGCCCCGGGCUCAACCUGGGAACGGCAUCCGGAACUGUCAGGCUAGAGUGCAGGAGAGGAAGGUAGAAUUCCCGGUGUAGCGGUGAAAUGCGUAGAGAUCGGGAGGAAUACCAGUGGCGAAGGCGGCCUUCUGGACUGACACUGACGCUGAGGUGCGAAAGCGUGGGUAGCAAACAGGAUUAGAUACCCGUGUAGUC
rnacentral:rRNA from 1 species